AAUUCCUAGAGAAACGGAUUCACAACUUUCCUCAGGAACACUGAUCAGUGUCUUAGAACUCUUCUGCCGGGAAAGUUCUUCCUGACCUCUCACCCCCAUCCCUGUGGCCAAGAUGUCGACUUCCCCGCUGAAAGAGGGAUCCCUCCCCUGCACGGUAUCCCUUGUAGGUGCUUUUACAAAUUGGACUUCAACAGAAGAAAGAUCCCUCACAUUAGAAAUCGAAUCUACUCUCCAAACAUUAAAGGUUUACUAUCUUGGAGGAGAUUCACAACAAUGAAAGCAAGGAAUACAAAACUGCAAAAAAACAAAACUUAAACCGAAAAAACAGAAUAAAUGCAGAGGAUUCACUGGAAUCAACGCAGAGCCCCCCAAAGCAUCAUGUUGCAAGGGCCAACAUUAACCGGAACACAUCAAUCCCGGAGUGUUAAAAGGACGAAGUCUCCCUGGUUUAUGUCACACCUUGUACAGAGAAUAGAAGGGCUAAGGAAUAAAUUGCUGCCUUCGACCUUUUGGAGACUUACAUUGCAGACCGGGUUUUAA
rnacentral:lncRNA from 1 species